rnacentral:rRNA from 1 species
CGGCGGACGGGUGAGUAACGCGUGGGUAACCUGCCUCAUACAGGGGGAUAACAGUUGGAAACGACUGCUAAUACCGCAUAAGCGCACAGGGUCGCAUGACCUGGUGUGAAAAGCUCCGGUGGUAUGAGAUGGACCCGCGUCUGAUUAGCCAGUUGGUGGGGUAACGGCCUACCAAAGCAACGAUCAGUAGCCGACCUGAGAGGGUGACCGGCCACAUUGGGACUGAGACACGGCCCAAACUCCUACGGGAGGCAGCAUG